GAUGAACGCUGGCGGCGUGCCUAAUACAUGCCAGUCGAGCGAAUGGAUUAAGAGCUUGCUCUUAUGAAGUUAGCGGCGGACGGGUGAGUAACACGUGGGUAACCUGCCCAUAAGACUGGGAUAACUCCGGGAAACCGGGGCUAAUACCGGAUAACAUUUUGAACCGCAUGGUUCGAAAUUGAAAGGCGGCUUCGGCUGUCACUUAUGGAUGGACCCGUGUCGCAUUAGCUAGUUGGUGAGGUAACGGCUCACCAAGGCAACGAUGCGUAGCCGACCUGAGAGGGUGAUCGGCCCCACUGGGACUGAGACACGGCCCAGACUCCUACGGGGGGCAGCAGUAGGGAAUCUUCCGCAAUGGACGAAAGUCUGACGGAGCAACGCCGCGUGAGUGAUGAAGGCUUUCGGGUCGUAAAACUCUGUUGUUAGGGAAGAACAAGUGCUAGUUGAAUAAGCUGGCACCUUGACGGUACCUAACCAGAAAGCCACGGCUAACUACGUGCCAGCCGCCGCAGUAA
rnacentral:rRNA from 1 species